GGGCCUAUAGCUCAGUUGGUAGAGCAGUCGGCUCAUAACCGAUCGGUCACAGGUUCGAUUCCUGUUGGGCCCACCA
rnacentral:tRNA from 1 species